UGGCUCUGGCAUCGAUGAAGAACGCAGCGAAAUGCGAUAAGUAAUGUGAAUUGCAGAAUUCAGUGAAUCAUCGAAUCUUUGAACGCACAUUGCGCCCGUCAGUAUUCUGGCGGGCAUGCCUGUUCGAGCGUCAUUUCAACCCUCAAGCACCGCUUGGCGUUGGGGAUCGGCCACCGCCGCCUCCGGGCGGCAGGCCGGCCCCGAAAUUCAGUGGCGGUCUCGUCGUAGCUCCCUCUGCGUAGUAGCACACCUCGCACCGGGACGCGGCGCGGCCAUGCCGUUAAACCCCCACCAUCUUUCUGAAGGUUGACCUCGGAUCAGGUAGGAAUACCCGCUGA
rnacentral:misc_RNA from 1 species